rnacentral:rRNA from 1 species
UACGUAGGGUGCGAGCGUUAAUCGGAAUUACUGGGCGUAAAGCGUGCGCAGGCGGUUUUGUAAGCCGGAUGUGAAAUCCCCGGGCUUAACCUGGGAAUGGCAUUCGGGACUGCAAGGCUGGAGUGCGGCAGAGGAGACUGGAAUUCCUGGUGUAGCAGUGAAAUGCGUAGAUAUCAGGAGGAACACCGAUGGCGAAGGCAGGUCUCUGGGCUGACACUGACGCUCAUGCACGAAAGCGUGGGGAGCAAACGAGG